UUGUUGUCUGGAGAAGCGUCCUCAGCGGCGGACCGGGCCCAAGUCCCCUGGAAAGGGGCGCCGGAGAGGGUGAGAGCCCCGUCGUGCCCGGACCCUGUCGCACCAUGAGGUGCUGUCUACGAGUCGGGUUGUUUGGGAAUGCAGCCCUAAUCGGGCGGUAAAUUCCGUCCAAGGCUAAAUACGGGCGAGAGACCGAUAGCGAACAAGUACCGCGAGGGAAAGAUUAAAAGGACUUUGAAAAGAGAGUCAAAGAGUGCUUGAAAUUGUCGGGAGGGAAGCGGAUGGGGGCCGGCGAUGCG
rfam:Gossypium arboreum cultivar AKA8401 contig_107167_1, whole genome shotgun sequence.